rnacentral:rRNA from 1 species
UACAGAGGGGGCAAGCGUUAUUCGGAAUUAUUGGGCGUAAAGGGCUCGUAGGCGGUUUGUCGCGUCGGGAGUGAAAACCCAGGGCUUAACUCUGGGCUUGCUUUCGAUACGGGCAGACUAGAGGUAUGCAGGGGAGAACGGAAUUCCUGGUGUAGCGGUGAAAUGCGCAGAUAUCAGGAGGAACACCGGUGGCGAAGGCGGUCUCUGGGCAUUGAUCCUGACGCUGGAGGAGCGAAACGUGUGGGGAGCGAACAGG